AGUGAACGCUGGCGGUAGGCCUAACACAUGCAAGUCGAACGGCAGCACAGUAAGAGCUUGCUCUUACGGGUGGCGAGUGGCGGACGGGUGAGGAAUACAUCGGAAUCUACUUUUUCGGGGGGGAUAACGUAGGGAAACUGACGCUAAUACCGCAUACGACCUACGGGUGAAAGCAGGGGAUCUUCGGACCUUGCGCGAUUGAAUGAGCCGAUGUCGGAUUAGCUAGUUGGCGGGGUAACGGCCCACCAAGGCGACGAUACGUAGCUGGUCUGAGAGGAUGAUCAGCCACACUGGAACUGAGACACGGUCCAGACUCCUACGGGAGGCAGCAGUGGGGAAUCUUGGACAAUGGGCGCAAGCCUGAUCCAGCCAUACCGCGUGGGUGAAGAAGGCCUUCGGGUCGUAAAGCCCUUUUGUUGGGAAAGAACAGCAGCAGGUUAAUCCCCCGCUGUUCUGACGGUACCCAAAGAAUAAGCACCGGCUAACUUCGUG
rnacentral:rRNA from 1 species